rnacentral:rRNA from 1 species
GAUGAACGCUGGCGGCGUGCCUAAUACAUGCCAGUCGAGCGAACGGACGAGAAGCUCGCUUUUCUGAUGUUAGCGGCGGACGGGUGAGUAACACGUGGAUACCCUACCUAUAAGACUGGGACAACUUCGGGAAACCUGAUCUAAUACCGGAUAAUAUUUUGAACCGCAUGGUUCAAAAGUGAAAGACGGAUUUGCUGUCACUAAUAGAUGGAUCCGCGCUGCAUUAGCUAGUUGGUAAGGUAACGGCUUACCAAGGCAACGAUGCGUAGCCGACCUGCGAGGAUGAUCAGCCGAACUUGGAAAGAGACACGGCCCAGACCCCUAAGGGGGGGAGAAGUGGGGAAUUUUGGACAAGGGGGGGAAACCGGAGCCAGGCACCCCGCGGGAGGGAAGAAGGCCUCUGGGGUGUAAAGACCUUUUGUAAGGAAAGAAAAAGUGGGUACGAAAAUAGGUUGCUAAUGACGGUACCUGAAGAAGAAGCACCGGGUAACUACGUG